AUUGAACGCUGGCGGCAGGCCUAACACAUGCAAGUCGAACGAGUGGCGGACGGGUGAGUAAUGUCUGGGAAACUGCCCGAUGGAGGGGGAUAACUACUGGAAACGGUAGCUAAUACCGCAUACCAUCGGAUGUGCCCAGAUGGGUUUGGCUAGUUUGUGGGGUAACGGCUCACCUAGGCGACGAUCCCUAGCUGGUCUGAGAGGAUGACAAGCCAAACUGGAACUGAGACACGGUCCAGACUCCUACGGUAGGCAGCAGUGGGGAAUAUUGCACAAGGGGCGCAAGCCUGAUGCAGCCAUGCCGCGUGUAUGAAGAAGGCCUUCGGGUUGUAAAGUACUUUCAGCGGGGAGGCGUUACCCGCAGAAGAAGCACCGGCUAACUCCGUGCCAGCCGCCGCGGUAAUAC
rnacentral:rRNA from 1 species